GAUGAACGCUGGCGGCGUGCCUAAUACAUGCAAGUAGAACGCUGAAGGAGGAGCUUGCUCUUCUGGAUGAGUUGCGAACGGGUGAGUAACGCGUAGGUAACCUGCCUGGUAGCGGGGGAUAACUAUUGGAAACGAUAGCUAAUACCGCAUGACAACAGUUAUUGCAUGAUAACUGUUUAAAAGGGGCAACUGCUCCACUACCAGAUGGACCUGCGUUGUAUUAGCUAGUUGGUGAGGUAACGGCUCACCAAGGCGACGAUACAUAGCCGACCUGAGAGGGGGAUCGGCCACACUGGGACUGAGACACGGCCCAGACUCCUACGGGAGGCAGCAGUAGGGAAUCUUCGGCAAUGGACGGAAGUCUGACCGAGCAACGCCGCGUGAGUGAAGAAGGUUGUCGGAUCGUAAAGCUCUGUUGUAAGAGAAGAACGAGUGUGAGAGUGGAAAGUUCACACUGUGACGGUAUCUUACCAGAAAGGGACGGCUAACUACGUG
rnacentral:rRNA from 1 species